GUGAAACCGCGAAUGGCUCAUUAAAUCACACCUAAUAUACUGGAUAUUAUCAGUUACUUGGAUAACUGCGGUAAUUCUGGAGCUAAUACAUGCAUACCAGCCCCGAACGUAAGUGAGGGGUGCUUUUAUUAGAUCAAAACCAAACGCUUCGGCGUCUCUUUGGUGAUUCUGAAUAACUUUUGGCUGAUCGCACGGAUUUAUUCCGGCGACGUAUCCUUCUAAGGUGUGCCCUAUCAACUGUCGACUGUGGCAUAGACGCCCACAGUGGUUUUGACGGGUAACGGGGAAUUAGGGUUCGAUUCCGGAGAGGGAGCCUGAGAAACGGCUACCACUUCUAAGGAAGGCAGCAGGCACGCAAAUUACCCACUGGUCGAAGACCGAGGUAGUGACGAAAAAUAACGAUACCGGACUCAUCCGAGGCCCGGUAAUCGGAAUGAGAACACUUUAAAUCCUUUAACGAGGAACAAUUGGAGGGCAAGUCUGGUGCCAGCAGCCGCGGUAAUUCCAGCUCCAAUAGCGUAUAUUAAAGUUGUUGCGGUCAAAAAGCUCGUAGUUGGAUCUCGGCGGGUAGGGGACGGUUCGUUGUUUGACGUUACUGUCCCAUUUACUCGUGUUUUUGACGGAGGUUUCGGGGUGAUCUUAACCGAUUGUCACGGGACGCCGUCAGGUUUACUUUGAAAAAAUUAGAGUGCUCAAAGCAGGCUUUAUACGCUUGAAUAUUAUUGCAUGGAAUAAUAGAAUAGGAUGUCGUGUCCUUUUUGUUGGUUGUAGGAUAUUGACAUAAUGAUUAAUAGGGACAGUCGGGGGCAUUAGUAUUCAGACGACAGAGGUGAAAUUCUUGGACCGUCUGAAGACUAACUACUGCGAAAGCAUUUGCCAAGAAUGUUUUCAUUAAUCAAGAACGAAAGUUAGAGGUUCGAAGGCGAUCAGAUACCGCCCUAGUUCUAACCAUAAACGAUGCCAGCUAGCGAUCCGCAGAUGUUUUUAUUGUAGGCUCUGCGGGAAGCUUCCGGGAAACCAAAGCUUUUGGGUUCCGGGGGAAGU
rnacentral:rRNA from 1 species